CUGAUGCAACGACGGAUUUCGAGCCCAGAGCCUUGCUGUCCUCUUUGCUACAGCCCCUUAGCGGAUGGCUGCCUCGUUCGAAAUGGCGAAUGGUCUAUAUAGUGGAAGAAACCUAGCAAUAAAUCUCCGAAGUAGGAGUUGAGUGAAAUGUGGAAUCGAUGAAUUCUAAUCUCACUGGCCAUCAAGGUAAUCUCUGAACACAAUGUGGGGCUUGAAUUUACAACCCAGGAAUCCGGAGUCACGUGCUCUACCAAUUGAGCCAACCAGCUGCUUAGCUGCUGGAGAAGCAAGACUGUUGGACAAACAGCAGCUGAGUUGCGAAGGGAGGUGGAUGACCAGGUGGCUUUACUCUCCUUACAGUCAUGCAGAGGACUGCAGCCGUUAAUAGGCUAUCUCAGGUUGCACAUGGGAUGGAUAAUGCUGGUGACAUCUUAUAAAAGAAAGGAAUUUGCCAAGGCCUCACAGUUAAGGCUGGGCUGUAUUAGUUUGCUAGGGCUGCUAUAACAAAGGACCACAAACGGGUGGCUUAAAAGAACAGAAAAUGAUUGCCUCACAGUCCUGGAGGCUGGAUGCCUGGGAGCAAGGUAUCACAGGGUUGAUUCCUUCUGAAGGCUGUAGGGACAAUCUGUUCAUGCCUCUACCCUACCUCCUGGUGACUUGUUGGCAAUCUUUGGCCUUCUUGGAUUCUAGAAGCAUCACGCCAAUCACUGCCUUCAUCUUCCCAUGGUGCUCUGUGUGUGUGUGUCUGUCUGUAGGUCCAAAUGACCCUUUUGUAUAAGGACACAAGUCCUAUUGGAUUAGGGCCCACCCUCGUGACCUCAUCUUAACUCAGUCAUCUGUGAAGACUCUAUUUCCCAAUCAGGUCACAUUCACCGGUACAGACGGCUAGUUAGGACACCAACCUCUUUUGGGAGGAUUGCAAUUCAACCCAUAACGCUGGCCUCACACCCAAGUCAUUUGACCUUGUUGCUGUUCAGAUACCCUAAUAUCCUGGCUCCGUCAGUCUCCAGAAUCAGCUAUUAUGGUUUUUGUUUGUUUGCUUUUUAAUAGCAAAAACUUCUGAGGCACCUGCAAAAACUAUGAAUUAAGGCACACCAGGGGAGUUGUUCUGUUUUUUUUUUUUUCUCUUGUGCUUUAGAACGUUUGGAUUCUACUAACACUGAUGAGUCUUUAAGUCCAAUUAUAUCCCAAGGCAUUGGGAGUGGGAGGUGGCAGUGGCUUAAAGGGGAAGGGAUUAUGAAGAAUAAUAAAAUCUGUCUUCGAACCUGGAAAAUUCAUGUUCCAGUUUUGUUCUUUAGUUUUCUACCAAUAAAACAAAACGAUACACACACAAAAAACUUUGGAUUCUUUGUUUCUGGGACAGCGCUGCAUUCCCAGCAACCUAGUAACAAUCACAUUGUCUCUACUGUAGCAUGAUAAACAGCUGGAAAAGACAGAAAAAUAAAAAAACCUAUCAGAAGAUACAAAGAAAUGGAUACAAUAAAAGCCCCUCCAAAUGCCUAAUUCACUCAGGCACUUCUGUGCCUCUUUUAGCUUGAGGAUAGAAUCCAAAAUAAUGACCUCUAUCAGGAUGCAGCAUUACGGCUAGCCAGCUGGAGUUUUUUCCCUUUUUUUUUCCCCCUUUUUAUUUUGAAGUAAUUAUAGAUUCAGAGGAAGUUACAAAGUUAGUACAGAGAGAUUCCCUACGCCUCUACCCACUUUCCCCCAGUGGUUGCACAUUAUGCAAGUAUCGCCUAGUGCUUUUUAGAGAUGGUUGUCCUGGGAAGCAAUAAUAUACCAGGCUUACUUGCUGGAAAAUCUGAGCUGACUCACCCUUCCAAACACUGCCUUUAAAGGAACCCGGAACCACAGCGCCCAUGGCAGCUUCCACAGUCUCCAGACACAGACAUGCAGUUGUGAGCUCCGUCAGUUUCCUGGUCUAGUUUACCUGGCUCUUUUCCAAUUUCCAGGAGGGAUUUCCUCCAGCCAGUGUGGGAUGCAGCAGCCUGUUUUGAUGAGAGAGAAGGGGAAAUUUCAAAGCGGGGACAGUGCCCACCCUUGCUUGAGAAGACUCAGGAGUUGGGAUUGGGAUGCUAGUGUGUGUUCUUGGUUUCAUUUCGUUCAUUUUCAUGGGUGGCCACCUAGAAAAAGAUACUCUGGGGGAUUUGGAGAAAUAGGUGCUGCCACCAAAGUGUCAGAAGAAAUAAGAAAUGAGUGAGAUGUAAACUAGCGAGGGUGACGGCUUCUCGGAGCUCAGGCAGGUGUCAGAGGCGUCCAAAGGAGGAGGGCUGAUUCCUGCCUGGCUUGAAAGCAGGAGAUCCCCGGGGGAGAUGGGAGAUACAAGGGAGUCGGGAGGAUGGCAAGCGUCCUAAUUUUAGCAAAAGCCCAUUUAGUUAUUCUGUUGCCAGUUUUCUAAUUAUAAUAAUAAGGAUUCUCAAGAGUUAAAAAAAAAUACAGAAAGAUAUAAAAAAGUAAACCCAUCUGUAACCCUGCCACCCAAUAGUUAAAAAACAAAACAAAAACAACAACAAAUUUGGUAUCUUUCAUGGAUGAAAAACACACAUUUUAAGAAAAUUGUUAACAAAUUCCAACCAUUUGGGGGCGUGUGGGUGGCUCAGAUGGUGAAGCGUCUACCUUGGGCUCAGGUCAUGAUCUCUGGG